UACGGGGGGAGCAAGCGUUGUUCGGAUUUACUGGGCGUAAAGGGCGCGUAGGCGGUCAGCACAAGUCAGUUGUGAAAUCUCCGGGCUUAACUCGGAAAGGUCAACUGAUACUGUGCGACUAGAGUGCGGAAGGGGCAACUGGAAUUCUCGGUGUAGCGGUGAAAUGCGUAGAUAUUGGGAAGAACACCUGAGGCGAAGGCGGGUUGCUGGGCCGACACUGACGCUGAGGCGCGAAAGCCAGGGGAGCAAACGGG
rnacentral:rRNA from 1 species